rnacentral:rRNA from 1 species
AUGAACGCUGGCGGCGUGCCUAAUACAUGCAAGUCGAGCGAACGGACGAGAAGCUUGCUUCUCUGAUGUUAGCGGCGGACGGGUGAGUAGCACGUGGAUAACCUACCUAUAAGACUGGGAUAACUUCGGGAAACCGGAGCUAAUACCGGAUGAUAUUUUGAACCGCAUGGUUCAAAAGUGAAAGACGGUCUUGCUGUCACUUAUAGAUGGAUCCGCGCUGCAUUAGCUAGUUGGUAAGGUAACGGCUUACCAAGGCAACGAUGCAUAGCCGACCUGAGAGGGUGAUCGGCCACACUGGAACUGAGACACGGUCCAGACUCCUACGGGAGGCAGCAGUAGGGAAUCUUCCGCAAUGGGCGAAAGCCUGACGGAGCAACGCCGCGUGAGUGAUGAAGGUCUUCGGAUCGUAAAACUCUGUUAUUAGGGAAGAACAUAUGUGUAAGUAACUGUGCACAUCUUGACGGUACCUAAUCAGAAAGCCACGGCUAACUACGUG